AGACCCCGUGCGGGAGAGUCCUCCGAGAACAUGCCACAGCGGCAUCUCGGAGGCGCCGAAGGAGCAAAUCCUCCCCGGAAUCUCUCAGGCAUCCGUACCGCAGGGGCGAG
rnacentral:ncRNA from 1 species